rnacentral:rRNA from 1 species
CCUACGGGGGGCAGCAGUGGGGAAUAUUGGACAAUGGGGGGAACCCUGAUCCAGCCAUGCCGCGUGUGUGAAGAUGGCCCUCGGGUUGUAAAGCACUUUCAGUGAGGAAGAACGCCUGGUGGUUAAUACCCAUCAGGAAAGACUCACUCACAGAAGAAGCACCGGCUAACUCCGUGCCAGCAGCCGCGGUAAUACGGAGGGUGCGAGCGUUAAUCGGAAUUACUGGGCGUAAAGCGCGCGUAGGUGGCUUGAUAAGCCGGUUGUGAAAGCCCCGGGCUCAACCUGGGAACGGCAUCCGGAACUGUCAAGCUAGAGUGCAGGAGAGGAAGGUAGAAUUCCCGGUGUAGCGGUGAAAUGCGUAGAGAUCGGGAGGAAUACCAGUGGCGAAGGCGGCCUUCUGGACUGACACUGACACUGAGGUGCGAAAGCGUGGGUAGCAAACAGGAUUAGAUACCCCGGUAGUC